AAUCUUACCUGGCAGGGGAGAUACCAUGAUCCCAAAGGUGGUUUUCCUAGAGCAAGGCUCAUCCAUUACGUGCCGGACGUGCUGACCUCUGCCAUUUCCCCAAACGUGGGAAAUCCAACUGCAGAAUUUAUAGCAGUGGGGGACUGUGUUCACACUCUCCCCUG
ensembl:snRNA U1 U1 spliceosomal RNA